GGCUUCGGGGGACCGGCUCGUCUCCCCGGGGCCGUCACCGCCUGGAGAUCUACACACGAAAGUGCCGGUUUGACGAGGGCAAAGGUGCCAAGCUGUUGGGGUUUCUCCAGGAGGACGGUCUCAAGAGCCUUGCCUACGAACACACGCCCAACAAACGCUCGAUUCGAUUUUGCGCCUACUGCAAGCACUACAACUACGUCUCGAUCGAGUUCGAGAAGGUUGAGCUGCUGGGCGUUGCUGGUCUCGAAGUGACUCAUGACCUGGAUCAAGAUGUCGACCCGGCAGCAACUGACGACGAUGACAGGAGCGUCGCCUCCGACGAUCUGGAGCAGUUUGAGGACUACUUCUACUGCGACCUCUGUCAUGAGAGGGCAAAAGAAGAAGACUGCGACUGUAGCGAUUCUGACUGUGACUGUGGCAACGAUGGUGGUUACUGGAGAAUCCUUCCCCCGUAAUAACCAGUGCUCUUGGAUUGGAUGUGCUCGUGUGGCACCAGCAAGGUACAUCCGUGGACAGCUUCAGUUCUUUUUUGUUUUUGACAUGAUUAUUAUUGUUGAGUCGUACCGUUGUUUGUCGUUUCCUCAACGCCCAUCGGACUUACCGCGGCAGGAAACGGUGCGGUGGAUAGAUUUGUGUUUGUCAGUGCCUUUUUUGUUCCUUUCUACGGAUGUUACUUUCGUUUGAAUCUAAUUACACACUAUAAAACAUA